rnacentral:lncRNA from 10 species
AUUUGAUGGGGCUUCCUUAUGAAUCAAGGUAUAUUUCUAGUCCACAGGGAUGGACUCUCCCUGCCAAGUGCCUUCAUGGGAACCAUGUGACAGUUAAAUUUGAUUCAUGCAAGAUGCUUCUCUGGGCAAAUUUCAUUAUGAAACCAUAGCAGUCAGAGACCAUACAUUGGAGCCCACAAUGUGUCAGAAGCAUGGCAUGCUCUGUGCAGCCUUUUUCAUCCUGUUUGCUUCCAUAUACAAAGUGUCUCUGCAUAUGAGUCCCAGGAGGUUUGGUGACUUUUUAAUAUUCCCCAGAGCUACCUUUCAAAGCAGCGAGGUUACUUGAGUUCCAGCCUAGAGGCUGGAUUCAAUGCUGAGCAGCAACUCUAGAGAGAAGAUGCAGACUGCAGCUGUUGUUUAGCAUCUUUGAGCAUUAACUAUUCUCACUCUCAGAAAAUGGAGUAUUUAGAGAGCAGUCACUGGAGGAGGCCAAAGGUUUUAGCAAGAGAACUGUUUUACAUUCAACAGCUAUUAAACAAGUCGCACCCUUCUUCCUGCAGUCUUUAAGUAUGGUCACUCAGUGGAGCUCAUGGGAAUAAAUACACUUGGAGGAGAUCAAAUCCCAGUGUUCCUGGUCUAUGGGGCAUGAGUUCCCCAGUUACUCUUUCUCCAAGCACUCAGCAAGGUGUGGUGAUUCUGAGCUCUGAACUGGAGGUUAGGAUAUUGAAGUUCAAAAUUCCAGCUCUGCCACUUACCUGCCAGUUGGCUCUGUCAGGGCUGUUGCUCCCUUGUUUACAGAACAAGGGCUGUCCCUAGAGUGACUCCCAGCUCCAGCGUUCUAGAAGACUGAGUUAGCUCUGAGUGUCAUUUCAAAUUCUGGAAACAAAGUAAUGACUGUUAAAAUUAGCAUACUUUGGUAACUUUGAGCAAGGGUCACAGACAUUGGCACUGGCUAGCAAAAUCUCAGAGCUAUGGAAUUUCACUCAAGUGCGA